GAUCCUGGCUCAGGAUGAACGCUAGCGACAGGCUUAACACAUGCAAGUCGAGGGGCAGCACGGGAGUAGCAAUACUUGGUGGCGACCGGCGCACGGGUGAGUAACGCGUAUGCAACCUACCUAUCAGAGGGGAAUAACCCGGCGAAAGUCGGACUAAUACCGCAUAAAACAGGGGCACCGCAUGGUGAUAUUUGUUAAAGAAAUUCGCUGAUAGAUGGGCAUGCGUUCCAUUAGGUAGUUGGUGAGGUAACGGCUCACCAAGCCGACGAUGGAUAGGGGAACUGAGAGGUUGGUCCCCCACACUGGUACUGAGACACGGACCAGACUCCUACGGGAGGCAGCAGUGAGGAAUAUUGGUCAAUGGGCGGGAGCCUGAACCAGCCAAGUCGCGUGAAGGAAGAAGGAUCUAUGGUUCGUAAACUUCUUUUGCAGGGGAAUAAAGUGCAGGACGUGUCCUGUUUUGUAUGUACCCUGAGAAUAAGGAUCGGCUAACUCCGUGCCAGCCGCGGC
rnacentral:rRNA from 1 species